UUAGGGUUAAGCUUAUUGUGGCAUAGAGAAGGCCCUGAUGGUGGCACUGCCCCCUUUGAAAGUUGGUUCUCAAAUAAACUACUUUUGAAGUCCCUUAAGUCUCUUAUGGGGUCAGCUAUUGAAAUCAUACCCAAGAGUAUGAAAAUUGCUACAAGAAAGAGAAACAAACAAAAUCUUAAACUAGAUCUCCUAAAACAUUGCAUGGUAGCUACUUUCAUUCACUUCUUGAACGUAUAAGAC
rnacentral:lncRNA from 1 species